UUGUGAACUAUGUCCAUACAAAGACUAAACAUGUACGUUUCCUGUGUAUCUUUUAAUCUGUGAAAUAGGACUGGCCUUGGGCCAUCGGACUCAAAGGCAGACUCGUUACACACUAUUCCAAUAAAAACAUAUAAUUUUGGAGAGAUGGUAAUCCUCUCUCUUCAUGUCCAGGGUUGUUACACCACUCCCUCUGUUCAGAAAUGCAACACACUUUACAAGUGCUUGUUUUUUGAUCUCCAUUGUAGCGAACACAGGGGGUAGCUCAGCGCCCUCAGCUAGAUUUUAAAAACCUAACCACUGUCCCAUUUAACACUUCCCCAAAAACAUUUUUUCUACCUAUACUCUUCUACUUCCUUGUCUAGGGUUAUGGAAAAGGGGUAUGUGGAGCAUCCCAGUGGACAGCAGCUAAAGAGUCGUCAAGGAAAACAAACGAACAACCUUGAUGAAGAGGGACUUGAAGUUGCCAUCUGCCGCCAUGGAAUACUUCUAAGGAGCCUCAACAUGAUGCGUGGAGAGAUACUUGCAUACCCACUGUUCUUGUAGAAGGAAUUGUCUGGUGGCAGGAACAUACAAUUCAUGUGUACAGAUGUGAUCUGCAAAUUUUGGCCAUAACUGACCAGGGUUGCUCUUCAUUGUCCAGAGUUCGCCACUCUUCCAGACAUGAAGCCACUUCUUUCUGUCUGUCGUGCAUGCUAGAUUAAGUGGGGAGGACGGAAUCGGCAAGGAGCUGGCACAACUCUGGCGGAGGAAGUGGAACAAGGGAACAGCUUCUUGUCGAGGGCUGCAGUCUGUUCCAAGCAAAUGGCCAAAGGAGCAAGAACAGACAUGCUAACCAUCCAUGCCAUGGGGUGGAACAGAAGGAAGAAGAACAACCUGCACAGAGUAUUUUCCAGAAGAUACUUGAAGACAACAGCAAAAAUCCAGGAGGAGACCCAGACUCUCGAAAAGUUUAAGAGUGAUUUGGGUGUAGGCGAUGAGACUGUACAACUGGACAACGGAAGUUCAGCAAUGGGCCAAUACAGAGGAAACAAAUGAGAACAUGGAUGGUCCCCAGGUACUACAGAGAACAAUUGAAGUCCUUUUUCUUAGCAUCAAACAGACAGAUGGAUGCAAGAAAAGACACCCUCUGCGCAGAAAGAUAUUGGAAGAAAAGGCCAAAUUGGCAGCUGCCAUAGAGGAGUACAACACCCUUGUACCAGAUUUAGCAAUACCAUCUGCAGAUGAGAUCCUUUCUGCAGACCUUCAUGCAUGACCUUGGGAGCUGCAUGGACAAACUGACCUACACACAAAGAAAAUAGCCUUUGACCGUGUGAUGCUUCUGAGACUGCUGAAGGAGGAGGAAUUAAUUGUCCUAAAGGAAGUCAAGCAGCACUGGGAAAGCCUAAAGAGGGAAUCGGAGAAUGUGCAAGACCUUGCUUCACAUGUGGCUCUUGACCUAAGCCGGGCAAAGUAGGGGUACUUUCAUUAAUAUGUACAAUUGAUGAUGGCACCCUGUAAUUGCUAUUGUAUUUAAAACCUCUUGACUAGGGGGCAGUAUUUUGAUGUUUGGAUGAAAAAUGUACCCAAAAAAACAGCCUAUUUCUCAGGCCCA